UGGGGAAUAUUGGACAAUGGGCGAAAGCCUGAUCCAGCAAUGCCGCGUGAGUGAAGAAGGUCUUCGGAUUGUAAAGCUCUUUCACGGGUGAAGAUAAUGACGGUAACCCGAGAAGAAGCCCCGGCUAACUUCGUGCCAGCAGCCGCGGUAAUACGAAGGGGGCUAGCGUUGUUCGGAAUUACUGGGCGUAAAGGGCGCGUAGGCGGUUUAUCAAGUUAGGUGUGAAAGCCCUGGGCUCAACCCAGGAACUGCAUUUAAGACUGAUAGGCUAGAGAUCUAGAGGGGAUAGUGGAAUUCCAAGUGUAGAGGUGAAAUUCGUAGAUAUUUGGAGGAACACCAGUGGCGAAGGCGACUAUCUGGCUAGAAUCUGACGCUGAGGCGCGAUAGCGUGGGGAGCAAACAGGAUUAGAUACCCCAGUAGUCCCUGAGCGGGCUGGCAAGGCGCAU
rnacentral:rRNA from 1 species